AGCCUAGAAUGAUCGCCGGCGCAGUGACGCGCGGCGCGGCCCGCGGUCGUCAGUCCGUCUCGCACUCUCACGGCAGACGCACGCUUGCUUACUGCGCGAACAUAAAUUAAAGCACCGCAACCAUUUCGUUCUGCCCACUGGUUAAAUGUGAGCCCAAACUAAUUCCAGUUUAUAAACUUGAUUAUCCACCCGGCUGGACACCACCACAGGAUAUUGGCCGACCGUCUCGUGAAGAUGUCGUGUACCAGAUGCAGCAACUCUUCCGCAGUAGCCUUAUACCCGUCAACUCCCGAACGUUGCGAAGUAAUGGUUUUUUCCUUCUACCAACACGCCGUUUAGUCUGGAUUUUUCCCAUUGUAAUCAAUUGAAGGACUGUGGUAGCAACACGUGGCCCAGGAUAUUGGCCGACCGUCUCGUGAAGAUGUCGUGUACCAGAUGCAGCAACUCUUCCGCAGUAGCCCUGCCCUAUACCCGUCAACUCCCGAACGUUGCGAAGUAAUGGUUUUUUCCUUCUACCAACACGCCGUUUAGUCUGGAUUUUUCCCACUAUAAUUAAUAAUUGAAGGCUUGUGGUAGCAACACAACAGUGUACCUUUAACGCAGGCAGCAUUUCCUCGCUGUAUUGCGAUACUUAUUGAGCGAGGAAAGCACCAGCUCUGGAGUCACCAGUACAAUCUACCAGGCGCCAACAUAAAUCAUUAAUUAGCACGUAUGCACUUGAUUUAGCAAUUAAAUAAUGUUAAGGACAUUUAAACUUUCAUAGUUAAUGGUAAAUUCAUAAUGUGUAUGUGAAUGAAAGUCUACUUCAAUUGUUUUUUUGUGACUUAAAGAAAGAAAGUCGGCCCAAACGUUAUUCUUAGCUGCUAUUCUUGCUUCAAAACGUAGUUUUGAAACUUUUAAGACUGACAAGGUAUGAAUAUUAUAUGAGUGGUAAUAGAGCAGUAAAAUUACAUACCUACAUUAGUGGAAUCCGUAAUGUAGAAGGUAAAAGAAGCAAACAUUUCAUUUCAGAUUUAAUCAAAAAACAAAAAUAGUGGUACAUUUAGAUCAAUGAAUUAUAGAAAAUCUGCAGCCAUAUAAAAAUGCAAGUUAAUUUUCAAAAUGACAUAAUAAGGGAUGAGAUCAGAAAAUAGGGUAAAGAACAGCAUUACAAUUUUUUAUUCAGAGUUUUAUUGAAUAAUUGUGAUCAGCGGCCAUAGGAACAUCACUGUCUGAAGAGUGGAUGGAAAUGGAAUCAGAUUCUUUUUCACUAUCACUAGCCGUAGAUAUAAUUUUUAUUUUUUAUAUUGAUACUAUUUCGGAUGCAGGUGGGUGAAAUUUGACACUUAAUUAAUUAUGAAUUAAUUAUUGAAUUAUGACUCUUCCCCGGGGUGAAAUUUUUUUCGAAGUACUGGCCGCUGAUAUACCUUCUUUUGUAAUUCUUGUUACAGUUCUCUCUGACACACCUGCAAUUAAAUAAGGAAAAAUUAAAAAUAAUAGUAACUUAUUAUAUUAGUACUAAUAUACUUUAUUGACAAUCUUGUUAAGUUAUAUUUUAUCUUAUUUCUAUUUAGUUAUUAACGAAAAUUAGUUAAAGCAAAUGUAAAUAUUAUCUUAUUAUUUCCUAUUAGACACCGGACAGAGCAGCUAGAAGAGAGAAAUAUCAAGGUUAAAUUAAGUAUUUAAAUUUUAAACGUUACGUCAAAUGUCAGAUGAUGUUUGUAUAGAAAGUGUCGUCUUUGUAAGAUACACGUUAUAAUUCCAAUAGAUUUCGCUGUAUUUGUCGUCAUUAUUGAUUUAGACAGUUGGGAUGAGGAAUAUUACUAGAACUGUCAAAGUGCAAAUAGACUAGUGAAAAUUUGUGACAAUUGAAACAGUUAAGAUAGAUCCCAGGUGGACCGUUACAUCAUUUGGCCUAAAUAGAAAAACGUUUGAUAUACUUUUUACCUAAUAUCAAGUAGAUAUUCAAGAAAUUUUUUUUUAAGUCCUUACAUUUUGACACUAAAUUGUUUUUGUAAAUAAACUAGCUUUUUCCUGUCCCGCUUCGCUAUGGCAUAUUGUGAUUGCAUGGAUGAGAAAUAAAACAAAGAAAACAUUUCAUAUAAGUUUCAUUUUGCAACUGUGGAAAAAAUAAUGAAAAAAUAAAAAAACAAAAAUGAUAAAAAAACAGAUAAAAACAAUCCUUGAUGCGGAUUAUAUAUCGUGCUAAAAAUUCAGCUCCAUCGGUGCAGAACUUUUUGAGUUUUGAAGCGUACACAAACCAACAUCAAAUUUUUAUAGUUUUAGCGAAUAUAAUGUGUGUUAGUAAUUGGUUUCUUCUUAUACAAUUUUACAUUUUUGUAAUUAUCUAUCUGAACCAAUUCGACUUCAGGAGAAGAAAAGUACAAAUUCUUAAAAAAACUAGCAAUGCACAAGCAGUGGCAGUGAAUGUUUGUUGUGUUUAAUACGAUUAAUUUAAGUCAAUUCAAAAUCAUUAAUUCAUAUACGUAACACAAUGUACACUUAUGAACGUC